rnacentral:rRNA from 1 species
GACGAACGCUGGCGGCAUGCUUAACACAUGCAAGUGGAGCGACGAACCUUUUUGGGGCAAAGCCGCGAACGGGUGAGUAACACGUGGGUAAUCUACCCCGAAGACUGGAAUAACCCGGGGAAACUCGGGCUAAUACCGGAUAGGAUCUUCUCCUUCAUGGGAGAUGAUUGAAAGAUGGUUUCGGCUAUCACUUACAGAUGGGCCAGCGGUGCAUUAGCUAGUUGGGGGGGUAACGGCUCACCGAGGCAACGAUGCAUAGCCGCCCUGAGAGGGUGAUCGGCCACACUGGUACUGAGACACGGCCCAGACUCCUACGGGAGGCAGCAGUAGGGAAUCUUCCGCAAUGGACGAAAGUCUGACGGAGCAACGCCGCGUGAGUGAUGAAGGCUUUCGGGUCGUAAAACUCUGUUGUUAGGGAAGAACAAGUACGAGAGUAACUGCUCGUACCUUGACGGUACCUAACCAGAAAGCCACGGCUAACUACGUGCCAGCAGCCGCCGUAAAAC